UACAGAGGGGGCAAGCGUUGUUCGGAAUUACUGGGCGUAAAGGGCUCGUAGGCGGCCAACUAAGUCACACGUGAAAUCCCCAGGCUUAACCUGGGAACUGCGUGUGAUACUGGCAGGCUUGAAUUCGGGAGAGGGAUGUGGAAUUCCAGGUGUAGCGGUGAAAUGCGUAGAUAUCUGGAGGAACACCGGUGGCGAAGGCGGCGAUCCUGGA
rnacentral:rRNA from 1 species